UAACACAUGCAAGUCGAACGGGAAGUGGUGUUUCCAGUGGCGAACGGGUGAGUAACGCGUAAGAACCUGCCCUUGGGAGGGGAACAACAACUGGAAACGGUUGCUAAUACCCCGUAGGCUGAGGAGCAAAAGGAGAAAUCCAUCCAAGAAGGGGCUCGCGUCUGAUUAUCUAGUUGGUGAGGCAAUAGCUUACCAAGGCGAUGA
rnacentral:ncRNA from 1 species